AUUGAACGCUGGCGGCAUGCCUUACACAUGCAAGUCGAACGGUGACAGGUCUUCGGAUGCUGACGAGUGGCGAACGGGUGAGUAAUACAUCGGAACGUGCCUAGUAGUGGGGGAUAACUACUCGAAAGAGUGGCUAAUACCGCAUGAGAUCUACGGAUGAAAGCAGGGGAUCGCAAGACCUUGUGCUACUAGAGCGGCCGAUGGCAGAUUAGGUAGUUGGUGGGAUAAGAGCUUACCAAGCCGACGAUCUGUAGCUGGUCUGAGAGGACGAUCGGCCACACUGGGACUGAGACACGGCCCAGACUCCUACGGGAGGCAGCAGCGGGGAAUUUUGGACAAUGGGCGCAAGCCUGAUCCAGCAAUGCCGCGUGCAGGAUGAAGGCCUUCGGGUUGUAAACUGCUUUUGUACGGAACGAAAAGCCCUGGGUUAAUACCCUGGGGUCAUGACGGUACCGUAAGAAUAAGCACCGGCUAACUACGUGCCAGCCGCCGCGGUAAGAC
rnacentral:rRNA from 1 species